rnacentral:rRNA from 1 species
AGUGGACGCUGGCGGUAGGCCUAACACAUGCAAGUCGAACGGCAGCACAGUAAGAGCUUGCUCUUACGGGUGGCGAGUGGCGGACGGGUGAGGAAUACAUCGGAAUCUACUUUUUCGUGGGGGAUAACGUAGGGAAACUUACGCUAAUACCGCAUACGACCUACGGGUGAAAGCAGGGGAUCUUCGGACCUUGCGCGAUUGAAUGAGCCGAUGUCGGAUUAGCUAGUUGGCGGGGUAAAGGCCCACCAAGGCGACGAUCCGUAGCUGGUCUGAGAGGAUGAUCAGCCACACUGGAACUGAGACACGGUCCAGACUCCUACGGGAGGCAGCAGUGGGGAAUAUUGGACAAUGGGCGCAAGCCUGAUCCAGCCAUACCGCGUGGGUGAAGAAGGCCUUCGGGUUGUAAAACCCUUUUGUUGGGAAAGAAAAGCAGCAGGUUAAUACCCCGCUGUUCUGACGGUACCCAAAGAAUAAGCACCGGCUAACUUCGUG